rnacentral:rRNA from 1 species
GAUGAACGCUAGCGAUAGGCUUAACGCAUGCAAGUCGAGGGGCAUCACGAGGUAGCAAUACUUUGGUGGCGACCGGCGUACGGGUGCGUAACACGUAUGCAACCUUCCUGUAAGUGUGGGAUAGCCUCCUGAAAGGGAGAUUAAUACCUCAUGAUAUGUAUUUGCUGCAUGGCAUUUACAUUAAACAUUUAUGGCUUACAGAUGGGCAUGCGUUCCAUUAGGCAGUUGGUGUGGUAACGGCUCACCAAAACCUACGAUGGAUAGGGGUUCUGAGAGGAAGGUCCCCCACACUGGAACUGAGACACGGUCCAGACUCCUACGGGAGGCAGCAGUGAGGAAUAUUGGUCAAUGGGCGCGAGCCUGAACCAGCCACGUCGCGUGAAGGAUGACGGCCUUAUGGGUUGUAAACUUCUUUUACAGGGGAAUAAAGUGAGUCACGUGUGAUUUUUGCAUGUACCCUGUGAAUAAGCAUCGGCUAACUCCGUG